rnacentral:rRNA from 1 species
AUUGAACGCUGGCGGCAUGCCUUACACAUGCAAGUCGAACGGCAGCGGGGGUGCUUGCACCUGCCGGCGAGUGGCGAACGGGUGAGUAAUGCAUCGGAACGUACCCAGUCGUGGGGGAUAACGCAGCGAAAGCUGUGCUAAUACCGCAUACGUCCUGAGGGAGAAAGCAGGGGAUCUUCGGACCUUGUGCGAUUGGAGCGGCCGAUGUCAGAUUAGCUAGUUGGUGAGGUAAAAGCUCACCAAGGCGACGAUCUGUAGCUGGUCUGAGAGGAUGAUCAGCCACACUGGAACUGAGACACGGUCCAGACUCCUACGGGAGGCAGCAGUGGGGAAUUUUGGACAAUGGGGGCAACCCUGAUCCAGCCAUGCCGCGUGAGUGAAGAAGGCCUUCGGGUUGUAAAGCUCUUUCGGCCGGGAAGAAAUCGUGCAGGCUAAUACCCUGUAUGGAUGACGGUACCGGAAUAAGAAGCACCGGCUAACUACGUGCCAGCAGCCGCCGUAA